rnacentral:rRNA from 1 species
CCACAAGCGAGGGGAAACGAUUCUUACUUUCUUAGAAGGCGUCCGAGCGGCGGACGGGUUAAUUAAUCCAUGGGAAUUUGCCCGAAUAGUGGGGGACAACCUGGGGAAACUCAGGCUAAUACCGCAUACGUCCUACGGGAGAAAGCAGGGGAUCUUCGGACCUUGCGCUAUCGGAUGAGCCCAUGUCGGAUUAGCUUGUUGGUGAGGUAACGGCUCACCAAGGCGACGAUCCGUAGCUGGUCUGAGAGGAUGAUCAGCCACACUGGGACUGAGACACGGCCCAGACUCCUACGGGAGGCAGCAGUGGGGAAUAUUGGACAAUGGGCGAAAGCCUGAUCCAGCCAUGCCGCGUGUGUGAAGAAGGCCUUCGGGUUGUAAAGCACUUUCAGCGAGGAAGAACGCCUCGGGAUUAAUACUCCCGAGGAAAGACAUCACUCGCAGAAGAAGCACCGGCUAACUCCGUGCCAGCAGCCGCGGUAAUACGGAGGGUGCAAGCGUUAAUCGGAAUUACUGGGCGUAAAGCGCGCGUAGGUGGCUAAGUCAGCCAGGUGUGAAAGCCCCGGGCUCAACCUGGGAACGGCAUCUGGAACUGCUUGGCUAGAGUGCAGGAGAGGAAGGUAGAAUUCCCGGUGUAGCGGUGAAAUGCGUAGAGAUCGGGAGGAAUACCAGUGGCGAAGGCGGCCUUCUGGACUGACACUGACACUGAGGUGCGAAAGCGUGGGUAGCAAACAGGAUUAGAUACCCUGGUAGUCCACGCCGUAAACGAUGUCAACUAGCCGUUGGGUCCCUUGAGGACUUAGUGGCGCAGCUAACGCAAUAAGUUGACCGCCUGGGGAGUACGGCCGCAAGGUUAAAACUCAAAUGAAUUGACGGGGGCCCGCACAAGCGGUGGAGCAUGUGGUUUAAUUCGAUGCAACGCGAAGAACCUUACCUACCCUUGACAUCCAGAGGACUUUCCAGAGAUGGAUUGGUGCCUUCGGGAACUCUGAGACAGGUGCUGCAUGGCUGUCGUCAGCUCUCGUUGUGAAAUGUUGGGUUAAGUCCCGCAACGAGGGCCACCCCUAUCCUUAUUUGCCAGCGAGUAAGGGCGGGGAACUCUAAGGAAACUGCCGGUGACAAACCGGGAGGAAGGUGGAGGACGACGUCAAGUACUUCAUGGUCCUCUCUUGGUAGGGUUACACGCCUGUCUACAAUGGCAAGUACAAAGGGUUGCAAUACGGCGACGUGGAGCCAAUCCCAUAAAGCUUGCCUCAGUCCGGAUUGGAGUCUGCAACUCGACUCCAUGAAGUCGGAAUCGCUAGUAAUCGGGAUCAGAAU